rnacentral:rRNA from 1 species
GCUAAUACCGCAUAUGACCACGAACUCUAUGGAGUUUGGGGUAAAAGGCUUCGGCCGCCAGAGGAUGAGUCCGCGCCCCAUUAGCUAGUUGGUGAGGUAAUGGCUUACCAAGGCUUCGAUGGGUAGCUGGUCUGAGAGGAUGAUCAGCCACACUGGGACUGAGACACGGCCCAGACUCCUACGGGAGGCAGCAGUAGGGAAUAUUGCACAAUGGAGGAAACUCUGAUGCAGCGACACAGCGUGAGUGAUGAAGGCCUUCGGGUUGUAAAGCUCUGUUCUCAGGGAAAAAGAAAGUGAUUGUACCUGAGGAGAAAGGACCGGCUAACUUCGUGCCAGCAGCCGCGGUAAGACGAGGGGUCCUAGCGUUGCUCGGAAUUAUUGGGCGUAUAGCGGGUGUAGGUGGCUUUGUAAGUCAGAAGUGAAAGCCCUGGGCUUAACCCGGGAAGUGCUUUUGAUACUGCUUAGCUUGAGUGUGGGAGAGGAUAGUAGAAUUCCUGGUGUAGUGGUGAAAUACGUAGAUAUCAGGAGGAAUACCGGUGGCGAAGGCGGCUAUCUGGCCCAACACUGACACUCAGACCCGAAAGCGUGGGGAUCAAACAGGAUUAGAUACCCUGGUAGUCCGCGCCGUAAACGAUGGAUACUUGUUGUUGGUGGUAUUGACCCCAUCAGUGACGAAGCAAACGCGUUAAGUAUCCCGCCUGGGAAGUACGGCCGCAAGGUUAAAACUCAAAGAAAUUGACGGGGGCCCGCACAAGCGGUGGAGCAUGUGGUUUAAUUCGAUGCAACGCGAAGAA